rnacentral:rRNA from 1 species
UGAACGCUAGCUACAGGCUUAACACAUGCAAGUCGAGGGGCAGCAUGGUCUUAGCUUGCUAAGGCCGAUGGCGACCGGCGCACGGGUGAGUAACACGUAUCCAACCUGCCGUCUACUCUUGGACAGCCUUCUGAAAGGAAGAUUAAUACAAGAUGGCAUCAUGAGUCCGCAUGUUCACAUGAUUAAAGGUAUUCCGGUAGACGAUGGGGAUGCGUUCCAUUAGAUAGUAGGCGGGGUAACGGCCCACCUAGUCUUCGAUGGAUAGGGGUUCUGAGAGGAAGGUCCCCCACAUUGGAACUGAGACACGGUCCAAACUCCUACGGGAGGCAGCAGUGAGGAAUAUUGGUCAAUGGGCGAGAGCCUGAACCAGCCAAGUAGCGUGAAGGAUGACUGCCCUAUGGGUUGUAAACUUCUUUUAUAAAGGAAUAAAGUCGGGUAUGGAUACCCGUUUGCAUGUACUUUAUGAAUAAGGAUCGGCUAACUCCGUGCCAGCAGCCGCGGUAAUACGGAGGAUCCGAGCGUUAUCCGGAUUUAUUGGGUUUAAAGGGAGCGUAGAUGGAUGUUUAAGUCAGUUGUGAAAGUUUGCGGCUCAACCGUAAAAUUGCAGUUGAUACUGGAUAUCUUGAGUGCAGUUGAGGCAGGCGGAAUUCGUGGUGUAGCGGUGAAAUGCUUAGAUAUCACGAAGAACUCCGAUUGCGAAGGCAGCCUGCUAAGCUGCAACUGACAUUGAGGCUCGAAAGUGUGGGUAUCAAACAGGAUUAGAUACCCUGGUAGUCCACACGGUAAACGAUGAAUACUCGCUGUUUGCGAUAUACAGCAAGCGGCCAAGCGAAAGCGUUAAGUAUUCCACCUGGGGAGUACGCCGGCAACGGUGAAACUCAAAGGAAUUGACGGGGGCCCGCACAAGCGGAGGAACAUGUGGUUUAAUUCGAUGAUACGCGAGGAACCUUACCCGGGCUUAAAUUGCAGAUGAAUUACGGUGAAAGCCGUAAGCCGCAAGGCAUCUGUGAAGGUGCUGCAUGGUUGCCGUCAGCUCGUGCCGUGAGGUGUCGGCUUAAGUGCCAUAACGAGCGCAACCCUUGUUGUCAGUUACUAACAGGUUCCGCUGAGGACUCUGACAAGACUGCCAUCGUAAGAUGUGAGGAAGGUGGGGAUGACGUCAAAUCAGCACGGCCCUUACGUCCGGGGCUACACACGUGUUACAAUGGGGGGUACAGAGGGCCGCUACCACGCGAGUGGAUGCCAAUCCCCAAAACCUCUCUCAGUUCGGACUGGAGUCUGCAACCCGACUCCACGAAGCUGGAUUCGCUAGUAAUCGCGCAUCAGCCACGGCGCGGUGAAUACGUUCCCGGGCCUUGUACACACCGCCCGUCAAGCCAUGGGAGCCGGGGGUACCUGAAGUGCGUAACCGCGAGGAGCGCCCUAGGGUAAAACUGGUGACUGGGGCUAAGU